rnacentral:misc_RNA from 1 species
UCUUUCUUCUCUUCUACAGGGCUUACGCUUAUGAGCUCUGCAUAGGCCUUUCUUCGUAACAGCCAAGUCAAGCGAUGACAUUUCACUAACUUCUUCCUCAGGGAACACGUCAGUUUCACUGGAUCUACUCCUUCUCCUAUCACCUCUAUCUGGUUCUUAUCUUUCUCUACUAAAGCUACAGAUUGCACUCCAGAAACGCUGACUAAAAUUUUCAGGGCCCUGG